CUUCAAUAUCUUCUCUUCCCCUCUUUUCCAACGAGAAUAUCUCUUAUCUUCUUCUUCUCACCGGUCACCACCAUUUCUCUUCUUCCUUUAUCCCUUAUUAUUAUAAAAAUCUUGUCGGUUCUUCUCGAUCUGCUGCUAUUCCUUUCUUCGCUCCAGUUCUAUCUAGGGCUUGCUUGGCGUUGACCUACGGAUUAUCCUCUGAAAUUCAUCGUUUAAUUCACUUUUCCAGCUGUUGAAUAAGUGAUCGUUGAUUCGAGUUUAGAGCAGCGAUCGGUGGCUGAAAGCUAUCGAUCCUUCGUUUUUUGGUGAAGUUUCAGAGCCUUUCACAGAGAGAUCUUGAGGAGCGGUGACAUGGGUUCUCUCCAAGGACCAGUUAUUUGCCCUGCUGUCCAAGCAAAACAACCUGGAGUGUGCAUUUUGCCUGUUAAUGGGUCCUUAGUAAAGGCUAAACUUCUUAAAAGUGGAUUUUUGGGUUGCCAAGGAAUCAAGGGUGCUAGGAUUAAUGUGAAUCAUAAACUACGUGGGCAACAAUACAAGAAGGUGCGGUGUUGCUACAGCUCAUCGUCUGAUGAUAAUGGUAGUAUGGCAGAGAACUUUAGUGAGGAUGACGAAGAUUAUGUCAACUCCAGUGUAGUUGAAGCAGUUGAGGUGAAGUGUGGCUCAGAUGGUUUCAUUAUUAAGAUGAGAGAUGGCAAGCAUAUACGAUGUGUCCAUAAUACCCCACAAGGUGGGCAUCUGCUUGAUUAUGUUCCACAUCCUGCCAUUGUAUUGAAGAUGGAAGAUGGGACUGGUCUUCUACUCCCUAUAAUUGUUUUGGAGAUGCCAAGUGUGUUGCUCAUGGCAGCCAUACGCAAUGUCAACAUUGCUAGGCCCACUAUGUAUCAAAUUGUGAAGGAGAUGAUUGAGAAGAUGGGCUAUGCAGUGAAAUUUGUUCGAGUCACAAAGAGAGUACAUGAAGCAUAUUUUGCUCAAUUAUGCCUCACAAAGUUGGAUAAUGAAGCCGAGAGUAUCAGCUUUGACCUUCGGCCUUCGGAUGCCAUUAACAUUGCAGUGAGAUGCAAGGUGCCUAUACAAGUCAACAAGAACUUGGCAUUUACUGAUGGGAUGAGGGUCAUUGAAUCUGCCAAGGUGUCAAUGCAUGCCUCUUCUUCAGAUGGCCUACUUUUCACGGAACUGGACCGGCCCAGCAGCCAGCCCUGCAUAGAAACCGAGGAGUUUAAUCUUCUGCAGAAAAUGCUGAAUGCUGUUGGUGAGGAACGAUACAAAGAUGCAGGAGUUCUUAGAGUCUAAGCAUUUCUGGUUCACUGCAGCUGAAUUCAAGGUCAAGCUCUCUCAACUUAGGUCCAAGAAGAAUUGGGCAUAGCAGAUUAUUCUAACAAGGAUGGAACUGUACAUAGAAAAACCAUUGGUUGGAGUCAAUGAUGUGUGCAUGCAUCAGAAGUAAUUAAUCACUCUCUUCCCCUUAUAUGUAUGUAUCUGGUUUGUGAAUAUGGUAUAUAUGGACAAAUUAGGCUGUUGUAUAAAUGCAAAUUAUGUCAGACUUGCUGAUUUUUGAGCAUAUAUUUGGUUCUUCA